GAAUGUGGGAUAAACAAUAUUAACUGUGAAGGAUAAAAAUUCUAUACGAAUGUCGCUCCUCUCAUUUCUCAGACCAGCUCCUUGAUAUUACAUUCCAGCUGAACGUAACCAAAGUGCAACAAACACGGCGAAACAUGAACUCUACGGGUAAAAAAAAGCCUACAAUCUGAAGUAAAAUCACUUUUCUGCAGGUCAUGUUGUAAACAUCUGCUUCCGCGUCUGUCCCCGACAGCUACGUUUCAGGCUGGCUGCCAUGGAAACAAACCCCGCCCACACGGCCUGGUGCCUCCUUUUAGCUGCUGUAAUGUAGAUUACCGUAAUAGCUCGUCUAUCAAUCUAAAACAAGGAUUCCAACUACUGAAAUACUUUCUAUAGUUCCAAGACUUACGGUAAUUUGAAAACAGCACUGUACAUCAUAUCGGCAGCUACAGUUUUAAUGUUAAAGGUCUAUAAAUAUUAUUUGGAAACGUCCGGCGUGCCAGGUGAAACAUCUAAUAAGAGUGGUAUGCGGGCCGUAAUUUGCCCUGGACUGCUCAAAUAGAUACUCAGCAGCAAACACAAAAUGUUCGCGGUUUCCAGAAGACUCGCGUUUAUGGAAUGGAAUUUAGUGUGGGGAGAGAGAGGGAAAAGGGAGUUUUCACUCUCCAAUACAGCAGGUGGCGGUAAUGCGCCUUUAACGGUGCGUGGUCCGCCAUUAGGCAAUAAGUAAUUUUGCACUUCGAUGUUAAAAAAAAGUAUGUUAAAAUACAUUGUCGGCCUGUCCACUUAAACACUAUUUUUUCAUCGUGCCUCAUCAAAAGUACGCGCCGAUGGUGAGGCUCGCCGCCCCCAGAGCAGCUAGGCCGAAGACUGUCUUGAUGGAGGGCCAGGAGCAGCUGAACACCGAUUCCCUCUGACGGUCGUAGAGUUCCACAAAGGCAUCCUGGAGGACAGAAAGACACGACAGAUGGUGACAAAGGCUGCAGGAUCCGGUUAUUAAUUAGAGAACAAGCUGCUCCAGUCAGACCUCCAGCUGAGGGGAACAUUUCGCUUGGCAAAACACACACCUCUUCCCCACUCAUACUUGGGCUCGGAAAAAGACAUGUCAGUGUGGCAUGAAGCCAUCAUGUGACCAUGAAAGCACACAGUCAUCUUGUCCCCAACGCGACCCCCAGACGUCUUCCCUUCGGAAACAAAAGACAGACAAUUACGCAGCUGUGACUUUCUUGGCUCCUCCAUAUAUCUUCCAUCAGAGACACUGGCGGUCACCUCAGCCCUCCGACUUUCAGGUUCAAGGUGGAAUAAUAAUCAGCUGACAUGGUGGGUGUUUGGAGCACAAUGACGCAAAUAACAACUUGACGCUUUGUGAAGAUGGGAAGCACCGCCUAAGACCCAAAAUGGACUGCCAGAGCAUCUUUGGUCUACACUGAGGGGUUACCCCGCCUCCCUCUUCCUGCUGCUGGAUUCCUCAGACAAGAAUGUUUGGAACAAGCCUCUUUGUGCUGGGAGCAUCUCAAGGGGACUUCACAUCUCCUCACUCCUUAAAAGCAACUCUUUAUGUCAGGCCUGUCCGCAGAGGUACGGCCCGCAGGAAAGAAAGGUUUUUUGUGGGUGUAAACAUGGCGCCAGUUGGCAAAAAGUGCAGACCUGCCUGAAAUUAUUGUCAUGAAGCCAAUAUGAAAAAAUAUAUAAUAUUAUGAUAGUAUUGAUGACUUGUGCCAAGGUGGUAAGAAACUUUGCAAAUAAAUCCUGAUGACAAUACAGGAAGACCUCAGUCUUCUUGAAUAAUCCGUUCCAAAAUGUCCAACAAAAACCGAAUCGUAUCUAAACCGAAGCAAUUUUCCCAACAAGAAAUAAUGUAGAUCUGUUCCCGACACACGAAUAUGAACACAAAACACGUUUCAUAAAAUAAUUACAGUUUCACAUGCAGAAAACAAUGUCAAAUGAAAUCCAUGUAAAUAAGAAAUUAAAUGUUUCGAACAUUUUGGUGACUGUACCUUGUGUGCAAAAGCGAAGCUAUAUUUGUUGACGUGCCGAGUUUACAACUAGACGUGUCACAUGCAACAACGGUAUCGAAA